rnacentral:rRNA from 1 species
CCUACGGGCGGCAGCAGUAGGGAAUAUUGCUCAAUGGGCGAAACCCUGAAGCAGCAACGCCGCGUGGAGGAUGAAGGUUUUAGGAUUGUAAACUCCUUUUGUGAGAGAAGAUAAUGACGGUAUCUCACGAAUAAGCACUGGCUAACUCCGUGCCAGCAGCCGCGGUAAUACGCGGGGUGCAAGCGUUACUCGGAAUCACGGGGCGUUAAGAGUGCGCAGGCGGGCUUUUAAGUCAGAUGUGAACUCCUGUAGCUUAACUACAGAACUGCAUUUGAAACUAUGGGUCUAGAGUGUGGGAGAGGUAGGUGGAAUUCUUGGGGUAGGGGUAAAAUCGGUAGAUAUACAGAGGAAGACUAAUUGCGAAGGCGACCUACUGGAACAUUACGGACGCUCAUGCACGAAGGCGUGGUGAGCAAAAAGGAUUAGAUACCGCGUAGUC